rnacentral:rRNA from 1 species
UACGGAGGGUGCGAGCGUUGUUCGGAAUCACUGGGCGUAAAGGGCGUGUAGGCGGUCCGCUAAGUCUGAUGUGAAAGCCCGGGGCUCACCCCCGGAAGGGCAUUGGAAACUGACGGACUCGAGUCCCGAAGAGGAGGGUGGGAUUCCUGGUGUAGCGGUGAAAUGCGUAGAUAUCAGGAGGAACACCGGUGGCGAAGGCGGCCCUCUGGACGGUGACUGACGCUGAGACGCGAAAGCGUGGGGAGCAAACAGG